AAGGCUUUUAAUAAAAUGAGUGGAGGGGGUAUUAUUUAGGUUCCAGAUAAAGGGUUUUAUUCCUGUGUUAUUAGGUAGGCUGUAAAAUGCUGUUAUUGAUGGUUAUUCGUUUACUCUGGUAUAUUUCUGAACACUAUUGGAAUACAUUUCUUCUUUUCCUGCUUGCUCCUAAGGUUAUGCCCCAUAUAACUAGACACUUCCAGUACUGGGUGGGAAAGCCCCCCCACCAAAAAUGGUUCAUAUGCCUCAAAUAACCUGUCAGUCCCCAAAAGGGAGCUGUCUGCUUAUGCAAUAUAGAGCAGAACUGUUAAGGAUGGAGACUUGACAAAGUUGUCAAAUCCCAGCUCCAACAUUUACUAGCUGGAUGACCUUGUGCAAGUUUCUUAACUUCUCUUUACCUGUUUCCUCUCCUAUAAAAGAGGGAUAUUAAUAUCUUUGCACAGCAGGGGUGGGGGAAAUAAAUACUAAGCAAUAUCCAAUAACUUGUGUAAAGUAUAUAUGAAGUGUUUCGUUUAAGGUUUAUUAUACAGUAUUCUUGUACUGCAUUAUUACUGUAUUGCAGCACUUAAGCUGAGGAAUAAAACUGUGUGACCCUACCACUAUUACAAUAGUGUAAGAUCUUUUCUUGGCAUGUGGAACACAGAA
rnacentral:lncRNA from 1 species